rnacentral:rRNA from 1 species
GUAGUCUCGCACAGAUGCAUAUCAAUAAGCGGAGGAAAAGAAACUAACAAGGAUUCCCCUAGUAACGGCGAGUGAAGCGGGAAGAGCUCAAAUUUGAAAUCUUAAAGGGUUUCCCUUUACGAAUUGUAGUUUAAAGAAGUGUUUUCUGUUGAGGUUUUGGUAAAAGUUCUUUGGAAUAGGACAUCAUAGAGGGUGAGAAUCCCGUAUUUGACCUUUACUUUCAACUUUGUGAUACACUUUCAAAGAGUCGGAUUGUUUGGGAAUGCAGUCCAAAAUGGGUGGUAAAUUUCAUCUAAAGCUAAAUAUUGGCGAGAGACCGAUAGCGAACAAGUACCGUGAGGGAAAGAUGAAAAGAACUUUGAAAAGAGAGUUAAACAGUACGUGAAAUUGUCAAAAGGGAAGCGUUUGACACCAGUGUUGUUUUUCUGAAAAUCAAUUAAAGAACUGUUUAUGCUAAGCUGUUUAGACUUUAUCAGCUAUCUGUUUAGUUUUGAGCUUUUCUUUAAUACACUUUUCAGUUAACAAGUCAACAUCAAUUUCUUUUGCUGUAAAAAAGCUUGAGGAAGGUGGCUUGAGAUUCGUCUUAAGUGUUUAUAGCCUCUUGCCUAUGCAGUCGGAGAGAUUGAGGUCUGCAGCGUAGAUCCUUCGGGGCUAAAUGCAUUUGUGCUAAGUUAUAGCAUUUUAUAGACAACUUGUUGACUAUGAUUUGUCUUGUAGCUUACUCGCUUAUGUUAUUUUACCUACGCUUAGGAUGUUGAAGACUCUACAGAGAU